CGACCGGCGCGCGGGUGCGUAACGCGUAUGCAACCUACCUUUAACAGGGGGAUAACACUGAGAAAUUGGUACUAAUACCCCAUAAUAUCAUAGAAGGCAUCUUUUAUGGUUGAAAAUUCCGAUGGUUAGAGAUGGGCAUGCGUUGUAUUAGCUAGUUGGUGGGGUAACGGCUCACCAAGGCGACGAUACAUAGGGGGACUGAGAGGUUAACCCCCCACACUGGUACUGAGACACGGACCAG
rnacentral:rRNA from 1 species